rnacentral:rRNA from 1 species
AGGCGUGGGCGGCAUGCCUUACACAUGCAGUCGAACGGCAGCACGGACUUCGGUCUGGUGGCGAGUGGCGAACGGGUGAGUAAUACAUCGGAACGUGUCCUGUAGUGGGGGAUAGCCCGGCGAAAGCCGGAUUAAUACCGCAUACGCUCUACGGAGGAAAGGGGGGGAUCGCAAGACCUCCCGCUACAGGGGCGGCCGAUGGCAGAUUAGCUAGUUGGUGGGGUAAAGGCCUACCAAGGCGACAAUCUGUAGCUGGUCUGAGAGGACGACCAGCCACACUGGGACUGAGACACGGCCCAAACUCCUACGGGAGGCAGCAGUGGGGAAUUUUGGACAAUGGGCGCAAGCCUGAUCCAGCAAUGCCGCGUGUGUGAAGAAGGCCUUCGGGUUGUAAAGCACUUUUGUCCGGAAAGAAAACGUCGUGGUUAAUACCCGUGGCGGAUGACGGUACCGGAAGAAUAAGCACCGGCUAACUACGUGCCAGCAGCCGCGGUAAUACGUAGGGUGCAAGCGUUAAUCGGAAUUACUGGGCGUAAAGCGUGCGCAGGCGGUUCGCUAAGACAGAUGUGAAAUCCCCGGGCUUAACCUGGGAACUGCAUUUGUGACUGGCGGGCUAAGUAUGGCAGAGGGGGGUAGAAUUCCACGUGUAGCAGUGAAAUGCGUAGAGAUGUGGAGGAAUACCGAUGGCGAAGGCAGCCCCCUGGGCCAAUACUGACGCUCAUGCACGAAAGCGUGGGGAGCAACAGGUAA